rnacentral:tRNA from 1 species
GGGAAUGGCUUUCAGAAUAGAUCGCCGUCAUGGGGUGUCGGGGGUCGGAGGUUCAAAUCCUCUCGUGCCGACCA